GAUGAACGCUGGCGGCGUGCCUAAUACAUGCAAGUCGAGCGAACGGACGAGAAGCUUGCUUCUCUGAUGUUAGCGGCGGACGGGUGAGUAACACGUGGAUAACCUACCUAUAAGACUGGGAUAACUUCGGGAAACCGGAGCUAAUACCGGAUGAUAUUUUGAACCGCAUGGUUCAAAAGUGAAAGACGGUCUUGCUGUCACUUAUAGAUGGAUCCGCGCUGCAUUAGCUAGUUGGUAAGGUAACGGCUUACCAAGGCAACGAUGCAUAGCCGACCUGAGAGGGUGAUCGGCCACCCUGGACCUGGGACACGGUCCAGACUCCUACGGGAGGCAGCAGUAGGAAAUCUUCCGCAAUGGGCGAAAGCCUGACGGAGCAACGCCGCGUGAGUGAUGAAGGUCUUCGGAUCGUAAAACUCUGUUAUUAGGGAAGAACAUAUGUGUAAGUAACUGUGCCCAUCUUGACGGUACCUAAUCAGAAAGCCACGGCUAACUACGU
rnacentral:rRNA from 1 species